UACGAAGGGUGCAAACGUUAUUCGGAUUUAUUGGGCGUAAAGGGUACGCAGGCGGUGCGUUAAGUCAACUGUUAAAUCUCCCGGCCUAACUGGGAAUCAGCGGUAGAUACUGGCGCACUAGAGGAUGGAAGAGAGAAGUGGAAUUCUUGGAGUAGAGGUAAAAUUCGUAGAUCUCAAGAGGAACACCGAUGGCGAAGGCAGCUUCUUGGUCCAUUUCUGACGCUCAGGUACGAAAGCGUGGGGAGCAAACAGG
rnacentral:rRNA from 1 species